rnacentral:rRNA from 1 species
ACAUGCAGUCGAGCGAAUGGAUUAAGAGCUUGCUCUUAUGAAGUUAGCGGCGGACGGGUGAGUAACACGUGGGUAACCUGCCCAUAAGACUGGGAUAACUCCGGGAAACCGGGGCUAAUACCGGAUAACAUUUUGAACYGCAUGGUUCGAAAUUGAAAGGCGGCUUCGGCUGUCACUUAUGGAUGGACCCGCGUCGCAUUAGCUAGUUGGUGAGGUAACGGCUCACCAAGGCAACGAUGCGUAGCCGACCUGAGAGGGUGAUCGGCCACACUGGGACUGAGACACGGCCCAGACUCCUACGGGAGGCAGCAGUAGGGAAUCUUCCGCAAUGGACGAAAGUCUGACGGAGCAACGCCGCGUGAGUGAUGAAGGCUUUCGGGUCGUAAAACUCUGUUGUUAGGGAAGAACAAGUGCUAGUUGAAUAAGCUGGCACCUUGACGGUACCUAACCAGAAAGCCACGGCUAACUACGUGCCAGCAGCCGCGGUAAUACGUAGGUGGCAAGCGUUAUCCGGAAUUAUUGGGCGUAAAGCGCGCGCAGGUGGUUUCUUAAGUCUGAUGUGAAAGCCCACGGCUCAACCGUGGAGGGUCAUUGGAAACUGGGAGACUUGAGUGCAGAAGAGGAAAGUGGAAUUCCAUGUGUAGCG